rnacentral:rRNA from 1 species
CCUCGGGAGGCUGCAGUGGGGAAUAUUGGACAAUGGGCGAAAGCCUGAUCCAGCCAUGCCGCGUGUGUGAAGAAGGCCUUCGGGUUGUAAAGCACUUUCAGUGGGGAAGAAAGCCUUGGGGCUAAUACCCUCGAGGAAGGACAUCACCCACAGAAGAAGCACCGGCUAACUCCGUGCCAGCAGCCGCGGUAAUACGGAGGGUGCGAGCGUUAAUCGGAAUUACUGGGCGUAAAGCGCGCGUAGGCGGUCUGAUAAGCCGGUUGUGAAAGCCCCGGGCUCAACCUGGGAACGGCAUCCGGAACUGUCAGGCUAGAGUGCAGGAGAGGAAGGUAGAAUUCCCGGUGUAGCGGUGAAAUGCGUAGAGAUCGGGAGGAAUACCAGUGGCGAAGGCGGCCUUCUGGACUGACACUGACGCUGAGGUGCGAAAGCGUGGGUAGCAAACAGGAUUAGAUACCCCGGUAGUC